rnacentral:tRNA from 1 species
GUCGGCAUGGUGUAGUUGGCAUCACGUUAGACUGAAGAAUAUUCUGUAUUCUGUUAUUCUGGAAUUCUGUAAUUCUAUAAUUUGCGGAGUAUCUCUGAUAUCUAAAGGUCCAUGGUUCGAGUCCGUGUGCCGACA